rnacentral:rRNA from 1 species
UUCUACGGGGGGCAGCAGUGGGGAAUAUUGCACAAUGGGCGAAAGCUGAUGCAGCGACGCCGCGUGAGGGAUGACGGCCUUCGGGUUGUAAACCUCUUUCAGCAGGGACGAAGCGCAAGUGACGGUACCUGCAGAAGAAGCACCGGCUAACUACGUGCCAGCAGCCGCGGUAAU